GUUCCAUGGCUCUCUCACUGCUUGCCCCUCUCAGAUUUUGAUGCGUUCAGAACCCCAUGGAACAAGAAGACUCCCAAAGUGGUUUCAUUGUUUCAUUCAUCCCAUGCCUCUCCACCAAGGAAUGGACACCUGAACAUGGAAAAAUGAGCGAAUACGUCUUCUACAGCAAGUUCCAGGCGAUGUCCUAAUCCGUUGCAUCAGCUCGACCCACAUUUACCAUGUUCGCUCUUCUCGCGACCAUACUUCGCAAUGGACCAUCUAUGGAUGGAUCACGAAAAAAUGGUCGAUGCACCAUGGACCAUGGUCCGACUAUGAUUUGACGACUAUUAACAAUCAUUUUAUUAUUUUUUUUUUUACAUAAUUUGAUUAGUCUUUAGCAAUGUCGUGCGUUAGGAAUCAUAGUUGAUGAUUUUGGUGAGUUUUAUGAAUUAAAAUGAUAAACUAAUCACUACUGGUUCGGGCUAAAUCAAAGCUGUAUUGUGGUAGCUUUUUAUGCAAAAAGGCAUUCAUAAACGUUCAAUACUACAAUCCCGUGACAUACAAUGAAAAAACAUAUAUUUAAACACUACAUCACCUAAUUUAUAUUUGUUACAUAAUGCACAUUUUUAACUAUAUAGUGUAUAAAUUGUGAGCAUAAAAUAGUAGCCAUUGAUUUUUUAAGAAUAAACUCAGUUGAAUGUUAUGUUUGAAGACCAAUUGUUCAGAAACAUAUGUAGUGCUUAGAAUGUAACAAAAGAAUGUUUCAAACUGAAAGAAAGCUAUAUU